rnacentral:rRNA from 1 species
GAUGAACGCUGGCGGCGUGCUUAACACAUGCAAGUCGAACGGAAAGGCCCCUUUGGGGGUACUCGAGUGGCGAACGGGUGAGUAAGACGGGAGUAACCUGCCCUUGCUUCCGUGAUAACUUCGGGAAACUGGGGCUAAUUCCGGAUAGAAAUCCUUGCUGCUUGGGGGGGGUUGGGGAGCUUUUGCGGUUUUGGAUGGACUCGCGGCUUAUCAGCUUGUUGGUGGGGUAGUGGCUUACCAAGGCGUUGACGGGUAGCCGGACUGAGAGGGUGACCGGCCACAUUGGGACUGAGAGACGGCCCAGACUCCUACGGGAGGCAGCAGUGGGGAAUAUUGCACAAUGGGCGGAAGCCUGAUGCAGCAACGCCGCGGGCGGGAUGACGGCCUUCGGGUUGUAAACCGCUUUCAGCAGGGGCGAAGCUUGUGGUGACGGUACCUGCAGAAGAAGCACCGGCUAACUACGUG